rnacentral:rRNA from 1 species
UACGUAGGGUGCAGGCGUUAAUCGGAAUUACUGGGCGCAAAGCGUGCGCAGGCGGUUUGCUAAGACAGGUGUGAAAUCCCCGGGCUUAACCUGGGAACUGCGCUUGUAACUGGCAAGCUUGAGUGUGGCAGAGGGGGGUGGAAUUCCGCGUGUAGCAGUGAAAUGCGUAGAGAUGCGGAGGAACACCGAUGGCGAAGGCAGCCCCCUGGGCCAAUACUGACGCUCAGGCACGAAAGCGUGGGGAGCAAACAGG